UACGUAGGGGGCGAGCGUUAAUCGGAUUUACUGGGCGUAAAGCGUGCGCAGGCGGCUCGUUAAGACAGGUGUGAAAUCCCUGGGCUCAACCUAGGAAUUGCGCUUGUGACUGGCGGGCUCGAGUACGGUAGAGGGAGGUGGAAUUCCUGGUGUAGCAGUGAAAUGCGUAGAGAUCAGGAGGAACACCGAUGGCGAAGGCAGCCCCCUGGGCCUGUACUGACGCUCAUGCACGAAAGCGUGGGGAGCAAACAGG
rnacentral:rRNA from 1 species